GGGAGUAUAGCUCAGUGGUAGAGCAUUCGACUGCAGAUCGAGAGGUCCCCGGCUUAAACCCGGAUGCUCCCU
rnacentral:tRNA from 1 species